AAUGGUACAGGUAAUGAUACAUUCUUGGAUAAAAUAAAUGUAUCCUCUAUUUCUUCAUAAACUGGUAAAACACGUACUGAUGAUGCAGUUGAAAUAUUCCAUAAAAUUAAUACUCUAUCUCUUCCUGAGCUAUACAGAAAUAAGGAACAUUAUAUAUAAAUUCAAUAUGUUUAUUCAAAAAUAAAAAUAUAAAAAUUGUAUCAUAUUACCUCACUAAAGAAUUCCCAUCAGUGUGAAAAGAUAUGGAUGUAAUUUUACUGAAGUGCCCAGAAAGAGUAACUACUUCUUUACCAGAUGUAAUAUCCCAUCCAUGAAUUUUAAAAUCAUCGCCUGCAGCAAAGACAAGUUUUUUCUCAAUGUUCGGAUGGAAAGUUAAAAUACUGAAAUUAUAUCACAAGACAUGGUUAAGUCUUACUGGCACUUUGAAUAUUAUGAGUACAAGCGUGAUGUUGUAAGUCCCACAAUCUGACAGUACCAUCACUGCCUCCAGAAACCAUUAAAUUUGUCUCAUUACAAUGAGCAAUGUGAAAUACAGGACCUUUGCCUGCAUAUGCAUGGGGCAGUUUGAUCCAUCAAACAAACAAUGAUAUGCUACAUUUCCACAGUUUAAAAAGACCACUUUUGUGAUGUGUAAUUAUAUUUACAUCAUUACUGAACGCAUUAAAUGUAUUAAUCACAUCUUUCUCUUCAUCAUUAUCACUUUGUCCCACAUGAGAUACUAU